ACACAAAAAAAUAUGGUAGAUUAAUUCUAUUUAAAUACAGUCCAUUUAAAAGUUGACCUGUUAUUGUCUCCUACAUUAGGAGGGACAUGGAGACUAUUAUCCAUUUUAGGGAUAGUUGUUUUUCUUGUCUUGGGUGAUGAACUUUAUUAUAUUUAUUAGUGUAUUAAAAAUUAUCUCUAAACUAACCAUCGGCCAAUCAUAAGGAAGUUCUAAAAUCCAUAAACUACCAAAGAUUUCAAUUAAUCCACUAAUAAAGGGUAUCCAUAUAAAGCAAAAUAUUCUUUGGUGGUGGUUUCAACAUCUGCUUUGUAAUUUACAGAAUUAUAAAUGUGUAUCAGGACUGAUUUAAUCACUUUCCACUGAUGAUCGUUUUGGUGGUUACUUAUGUGGGUAUCGAAUAAGCUGAGGUAAGUAAUUCUUAAGAACAAGUAUGUUGUCAAUAAAUUUUGAUUUGAUUAUUUUAAGCAGAUCAAUGACAGAACCAAUAAAUAAAUAUAUAUGUUAAUUUUGUUAAAAGGGUAAAGUAUUGCUCUACUACGAAUAUAUGUGGCUAGUCAAGAAAUAGAGAAGACUGUAGUUUUAUGACACAGGGGGAUAAAGAAUAUAUUGUCUGUUUGUCUAUGAAUUUUAAAGGCACUGAAUAUAAGAAAUAGUCAAUUAUUAUUCUUGGUCAGUUAAUUUUAUUAAGACAGAUUAAGAAAUAUCUAAAUUACAGUGAAAAUGAAAGGGUAGUACAAGGUCUAAUGAAGAUAAGUUACCAGUUAUUAACAUCUAGUCUGUUUUAUACUCUUCAGAAUGUAUGCCCCAAUCUGUUGUGAGCACUCUGCCAUGACCACAAACUCUACGGCUGUCUCUAAGGGUUGUGACAAAGAUUCCUAAUGGCUGUUCCCAAACUGAUUUAAGCACUCUUCCGUGUAGUGAUGAGCUCUAUGAUUGUGUCUAUGUGCUGUGAGCAUAGAGACCAACGUGAGUAUAGAAUGGAUUGGCCGAGGCUGGAGUGAGCAAUCUGUACUUUCUCCACUGGAGUGAUCACAUUCUCCACUGUUGCUUCUCUGGGUAGGGAGCAGGAGAAGAAUAAUGGACAAACUGAAGCUGGUUUGAGGAUUCUUCUACAGUCAUAAGAUGGUGGUCGCUGCUGUGUGUUUGGUGUAUAGAAGCCAAGAAUGGACACACAUGAACUUGUGUGCUUUGUUCAUGAUCUUCAUGAUUACGUCCUUGUUAGGUGCAUUAAGUCUGUGAAUGGAUACUCUGAGCAAUUUAAACAUUCUGCUUUGAUCAAGAUUAAGUUUCCUCUUGUAGAAAUGAAACCAAUAAUGGAUACACUGGGACCAGUAUUAUGUUGCCUCUGUGUUAAGCCAAUGAUGGACAUGUCCAAGCUGAUUUUAGCAUUAUUCUCUGGAUAUGAAGUCUACAGUUGACUCUGUAUGUUAGGAGUAUGAGGACCAAUAAGGAACACACCUGAACUGAUGAAAGCAUUCAUGACCUCCACAAUUGCCCAUAGCGCAGGUGCAUGAAGUCCAAUGGUAAAAUUCCAUUUGUAGAAGAAUCCCUCACCCAAGGGGUGUGUUAUACAACCUCAACAAUGUGCACAUUAGAAUGGACGUACUUGUGCUGUUUUAAGGAUUCCUCCAUGGUCAGGUCCCCUACACUGUGCUUCGAAAGGAGGAUGUAGACUAAUAAUGGAUGCUUUCAAGAUGAUUUACUCACUCUUCUAUGGUCACAAACUCUAUGGUUGCAUCUACAUGUUAGGAGCAUAAUGAGUCGUAAUGGAUGCAUCGAUCUAAUUUAAGAAUUUUGCCUUGAUCAAGACUUGUUUAUCAUUGUUACUGAACAGACUGAUGUAAUAGUCAAAGUUGUAGUGUGGUUUGGGUGGUUUGUUUAAGGGUAUUUACUAUAUUAUUAACAAAAUAUAAAAUAUAGUCAAAUAGGGCCAAAUGUAGUUCGGUAACAAAUGUGGAAGUAUUACAUAAAGCAUCUCUUGGAUUAAUAAAUAUGUGAA